ensembl:lncRNA
AAAACAGCACCAAUGAUCUAAGGAGAAAAAAAAGCUAAUUUACUAAAUAUGGUAUUGGAAUGCAAGAUAACACACAACAAUACAAUAUAAUUAGAAUUGAAGCUAAUAAGUCAAAUAUAAUGAGAGAGAGUGUCUGAAAGGUACACCAUAAUGCUGAGGUGAGAUUUACAGUUGGGUCGAGCAGCAGGGGAAGGGGAAAAAGGGCCGAAAACGGGGAGGUCUCAUGACCUUGCAAGGGGUUAUAUCUUCUCUCUAAAUGCAAAGUCCUCUGGGAUAUGUAGUUUUUCUUCUCUUCCAGACAACAUGCCUGGAACUGGAGCAUUAACUCUUUAACUCCCAGUGCACUACAUGAUGUGGAAUACCAAUAACCAAAAAUCAUAAAACCAUGACAUAAAAACACAUUGAAAAGUUGUAUAUGAUUUAAUAGGUAAGAAUAAUGCACAUGGACUGACCAGAUAAUUCUUCUUUCAGUAGUAGACUUGCAUAGUUUUUCCACUUGACAGAAACAGUACAGGUACUAGCAAUUAUACAAGAACAUUCUCAAGCAUAAAGGAAGUGAGUUCACUUAGAAAUCAGAUUUGAACCUCUUCCUUUAAGUGUGCAGUAAAUAUUAUUUAAUUUGUUUAUUAAGAUUGGUGAAGUGUUGUGGAACUGAAAAACAUUAGUAACAUUAAGACACGAGUAACAUUAAUGCAGAUAAUAUUCCUUUGCAAAACUCUUCAGAAAGGUUCAGGUGCUACUUUUCAAUAUUCUGUGUACAUGUAGUUAAGUCCACAUGUCUUUGAAGGGCUAUGCCAUAAAACAGGAAUAUCAGCUAUACAAAAGCAAGCUUCCCAAGAACUGGGGGAAAAAAAAAUAAAAUAAAAAAUUAAAAAACAAAAAAAAAAAAAAGAGGGUUAGUAAAGAGGGAUAGUAUUUGCUGUUGCUUAGGAAUUUUAUAUCUAACAAUCUAACAGUCUCAGGAUACUACAAGAAAAUAUUCUGGGAAAUUCUAAUCAUGCCGAUUCAGAGUUAUUUGUGGAAAAGAACCAAUAAGUAGAUGUUAUUAAUUACGAGAACUAUGAUGAAAGGAUGCUCUUGAAUUUACACUGAUAUGUACAUAUAUAUAUAUAUAUAUAUAUACACACAAUCAGAAUAUAUAUCAGAAUAUAUAUAUAUAUAUAAAACACACCGCCUGAGUGCAGCACACCAUCUAGACCCACUAGCCACAAAACUGUAAUGUUUUCCAUUAUUAUAUGACUUACUAUCAGGCUUUGAGAAUAGAUAUCAUCAUAGUUAUGUUUAGGUAACUUUAUUUCUCAUUCCCCUCAGAACACUUUUGAGAAGGAAAAUGGUAACUGUAAUUGUUUCACAUGGUGCUAAAAAGAAUCCUAAUGAAAUAAAGACAGAAAAAAAAAUCCUAAAAAUAAAGUGAAAUUAGAUCUUUUCUGCCCUACUGGAGGAGCGGAGGAGCACUGUCAGUUUAAGACAACUUGCAAGCUUUUGACAAGUUCUGUUACAUGCUUGAUAACAUGUGUCACAACUGGAUUAUAAAUGGUGUGAAUCCAGGAGGAAGUGAGAAAGAUGCCUUUUCCUUUUAUAAAAGUCAUAUGAACAGAGGAGAGCCUUUAUCUUCUCAUACAUCCAUGUUUCUCAUGCAGUGAGCAAUGAGAAAUGAAAAAUUUAGUGAAGGCUAAAUAAAAAACAAACUGAUUUGUAUUUAUGCACAUCAUAAACAUUUAUACAGCUGUGCAUCGUUACAGUACUGGAAUGGCUAUAUAAACAAAGUCACAGAACAAUCCAACUGACUUUACUGUUGUUUGAACAGCUAAACUUACCAAUUUUAAUGAUUAAAUUUGUUUUUGUAGUGAAUUCUUUCAAAAACAAUUCUGAUAAUAGUUGAUCCGUGCUGCUGCUAUUCAAAAUUCAUUAACAAUGGGCUAUGA